GGCGGGUAGGAGAGAGGAUAGGCAAUGAAUGGAAAUUAUUCUUCUCUCUCUUGGGCGUAAUUCCUUUUCAUUGUUGAACUUGUACUGGUGCUAUUCUUCCAUUUCUGUUGCAAUUUCUUGUUAUUGGAUUGAUUCCCUAUGAUCUCAUUUGAACUCAUAGGAAGUGCAAUCUGAGAGAGCUCUGUUAUUAAUAUACCAGAAUUCCACUACGUUAUCAGUAUUCUUUUACCUAUGAUUUCCUCACUGUUUCAUACUUCCCCUCCAAUCACCACCAUGGGAGGAACG
rnacentral:lncRNA from 1 species